CAAAGUAUAGCUUAAACCUUAAAGCACCUCGCUUACACCAAGACGACACCUGUUAAAAUCAGAUUACUUUGA
rnacentral:tRNA from 1 species